rnacentral:tRNA from 1 species
GGAGGGGUGGGAGAGUGGUUAAAUCCACCAGACUGUAAAUCUGGCGCCUUACGGCUACGUUGGUUCGAAUCCAACCCCCUCCACCA